rnacentral:rRNA from 1 species
UACGUAGGUGGCGAGCGUUGUCCGGAUUUACUGGGCGUAAAGCGCGCGCAGGCGGCAGUCUAAGUCCUCUGUGAAAUCACCCGGCUCAACUGGGUGGCUGCGGAGGAGACUGGGCAGCUUGAGGGGCCUAGAGGCCGGUGGAACUCCCGGUGUAGUGGUGAAAUGCGUAGAGAUCGGGAAGAACACCAGUGGCGAAGGCGGCCUUCUGGACAGUGACUGACGCUGAGACGCGAAAGCGUGGGGAGCAAACAGG